UCACCUCAGGGUUCGAAAUUAACUUUAGUCCGUUAGUCUCAGACUAAUACAUUUUCAUUCGGACUAAUAAAAAUUGUAGCUAAUUAGUCCGAUUGGACUAAUAAAGUUUUCUUGGGAGAAAAAAGAAUUUACCGAUGUUCAAAUUUUCGACAACUUUCACUGGAAAACCCCAUAUUUAUUUUUAGCUUUCUAGCUUCUUGGCGGGAAGUUAGGUAAUUCUGAGUCAAUUCGGCGCUUAAUUUUAGGACUCAUUGGUAUGAAAUUAAACAUUUUAGUGAUCAUGAUUUAGUAUGACACAUAAAAAAAGAUGUCGGAUGUUUAGAUGAUGUAAUCAUCUAUAAAGAAAAACGAAUGAGAUCGGGAAUACGAUCGUAGUUCCUGAUUGUGCGAUUUCAACGAAUUCUUGAAAUUGUGCCAGAAAAGUUUGAAGUAGCUAUGGGAAUGAUCAACAUUGAACUUGCUGAGGCUCUCUUCCUGAAAGUGACUUGACCAGAUAUUUGGCUACCCAGUAUGAGCUUUUUACCAUAUCCAUAGUAUCUUGCUGCUAAAUGAAAGAAUUAGUGUGGAGGAGCAGAGAAAAGGGCACCUCAACAUGUUCAAGGUCAAGCAGAAAUUAGGAGCUAGGUGUGCUUCUCCAGAGCUGAAAACUUCUUGGCAUGAAGAGAAGAAGAAGCAAGAAAAAGCAGUUUUAAAUAUUGAUUACGUCUUCAUAGUACAAAAAAUGAUUCUAAAGAUAAUACUAUCUAUGAAAUUAGAAAGCUGAAGUUGCGUUCUGAUGAAUGUGAGAAUGUCUUCAAAGAACAGGACACCAAAAGUGCCAUUCUCAAAUCAAAGCACUCUAAAAGGCAGAGCAUAAGAAGAACUAGGACAAAUAAAGAAUCUAAAAGAGUCAAACCUAUGGAUGUAUUAAUUGAACAGAGAUGGGCUAUUAGAGAUGAAAUAUCUGAGUUGCUACUGUUUUGCACAAAUUCAAUGUUAGAUAAGAAAAAUAUACCUAGUGUUGUAUUUUUGACAGUGAAAGUUUUUUCUUAUGCUUGAUUACAGAUUAAAACUGUUAUGUAUUUUAUUGUUUAAACAUUUAUUGGUCUUCAAUCACAUACAUUUUAAUCUUGAUUUAUAUAUCACAUAUAUGUACAAGUCUAACUUAAAUAAUAAGUGCAUGGACAUUAUUGUGGAAAAAAUAAGACAAUCAUGAUCAAGGGUGGUCUAAAAGAGCUUUGCUGGCAGUAAGUUGCAGAUCUUGAUACCCAAGCAAGAGAAAGGUGGUGUCUCUGACCGAUCCUUUUGCUGUUGCUUGUGGGCGAGUGAGGCUUC